CUCGUCGAGACUCCGAUGGGUCUCCAACAGCUGACACCAGCGCCUGCCCCGGUCCCUCAGAUGGUUGGGGCAGGGGGUGGAAAGGAAAUGAAGAAAUCCUUCUCCGUCCUGUUUACAUUCAUUUUCUUCCCCACCACUCCUCGGCCACUCAGCGAUGCCAUCUCCUCGGGCAGCGAAACCCAGUGUGGCUUGUGGGUCGGAUUGGGGGUAGAGGUGAAGCCGCCCUCACCCCAAAAAUGGCAGAAGCAAGGUAAAGUUCGAAUUGGGACGGUGGCAGGAAGCAAGGUUAGGUGACUUCACUGGGAACCUGUAGGCACCUGCGACGAAACUAAUCGUAUUUAGACUGUGAGCUCAUUGGGCGCAGGGAUUGUCACUCUCUAUUGUUGUAUUGGACUUUCCCAAGUGCUUAGUACAGUGCUCUGCCCACAGUAAGCU
rnacentral:lncRNA from 1 species